UGGAAAAUAAGCAACAAUAAACAGUGUCAAUGUUCAGUAUUGUAGCAUUUGUUUCCUGUCUGGGCACCCUUUAAAUGUUCUUUCUAUCUUCCCUUUGACAGUGUUAAUUCAGUGCAGAGAGACAAUCCAUUAGGGGCUUCAAAGUCCCUCUCACUAUCUCUGCACAUUAAACGUGAGGGGGGAUCCCCCACCUCUCCCCCCUGCCCACCUGAAGACCCCCA
rnacentral:lncRNA from 8 species